rnacentral:rRNA from 1 species
UACGGAGGGUGCAAGCGUUAUCCGGAUUUACUGGGUUUAAAGGGUGCGUAGGGGGGUAGGUAGGUCAGGGGGGAAAUCUUCGAGCUUAACUCGGAAACUGCCAUUGAUACUAUUUAUCUUGAAUACUUUGGAGGUAAGCGGAAUAUGUCAUGUAGCGGUGAAAUGCUUAGAUAUGACAUAGAACACCAAUUGCGAAGGCAGCUUACUACACAGUUAUUGACACUGAGGCACGAAAGCGUGGGGAUCAAACAGG